GAUAGGGUUUCACCAUAUUGGCCAGGCUGGUCUCGAACUCCUGACCUCAUGAUUCACCUGCCUCAGCCUCCCAAAGAGCUGGGAUUAGGGGGUAAGCCACCACACCCAGCCAGUUCGUCAUCUUCUUAAAGGAACACCAGUACUAUUAAGGUAUAGGGUCCCACCUUAUGAUCUCAUUUAACCUUAAUUACUUCCUCGAAGGCCCUUUCUCCAAAUACACACCCAGUAGGGAUUAGAUCUUCAACAUAUGGAUCUGGGGAUGCACAAUUCAGGUCAUAACACCCCAUGCCUCCAGACCCCUAAAAUUUGAACCAAUGUGGCCAACUCCUGCAUCUUUGUGGAUAUCUCCUACUCUCUAGGGUGCAUGAGUUUUACCCAGGUAUCUGGAGAGCAUCCCAACCAUGUCUUACUGCUCACGUCGGAUUAACGUGACGCCGUCAAACCUGUGGGCCAGUGUCAGGACGGCCAGAAUACCCGCCUCUUUGGACCACAUUGUGACAGAGAGUGAAACACUUCGCAUAGUUUCAUGCCAAGGCCACACAUGUCUAUCACUGGUCAUCCAGUGGGAUGCAAACCCAUUUUGUUCCUCCUUCCUGAUGGGCUUUGAAAAGAACACAUUCAUCAGAUCAGCAGCCGCACAGCCCCGUAUUUAAAACUGUUCAUCUGCUGAGUACACACACCAUAUUUGGCACAGCAGCUACAACUGGACUAUUUCUUGGCUAAAUUUUUGGUGGUGCACUGUCACCUGCUGUGACCAUCAUUUUCAGGGGGGCCAGGUGGACAGAGGAAUUGGAGAUGUGUUGGAGGCCAACCUUGAGAGUGGUCCUGACCUCCGCACGCCCCUUGGGAAGCUGUGCUGACUUUGGUUGACUAUCUUUUGGGCAGGGACGGGUGCUCCGCCACGGUGGCCCCUGUGGAAAUGGGCACUCUGCCUUAUGAUGCAGCAUAUACCUUUAGCAGUGGCCUUACCUGCUGCUGGGUCUGUGAAAGAUGGAAUUAGGAACGAAGGGCUGGGGGGAGGUGGCCCAGGCCACCAUCACACCCUGUGACCAACGUGGGGAAUUUAUGCCUCUAGUCCCUUGCAGCACAGGCUCUGUAAGUCUAUAGGCCCCGGAUUCCAGAGGUUCAUGCUUCCAUCAAGGCUAUCUCAACUGAAAGCUCUGGUGUCAGCUGGCCCACCUGGGCUUCCUGAGCCAGGAGACAGGCAGCGAAGAACAAAGCCCCCCCACUGGCAGGGGGAUGGCCUUGACCAUCACCGGGAAAGAGGACUACUGCCACAUGAGGGACAGGGAGAUGUGUGCCUGGCACUCGGGGGCCUGCUGGGGCAUCUCCUGGUGCUCCCACAGCCAGUUCCAGCGGGGCUGGGCUGAACAUGCCAUUUCCAGGAAGAGUCCAGCGCUAAGGCCUCUGGAGGUGUUCUGUUUUGGGAGACCAGGCAGCCAAGUAUUUGUACAAAAGAGGACCCAGAACUGCCCACACCACCACCUCUGGGAUCCCCCCACCCCAGGGGAGGUUAAAGCAAGCAGAGGGACACCGACUGCUGCCACACAGGAGGUCUUUGGCAUCCAAGCUCUGUCCAGGCCUCAGCAUUCUGCAAGAGGACACCACGCUGCCACCAUGUGUCCCAGACAACAGCCAGAGAUGUGGAAGGAAGAGGUGCCGCGUGGACUUCUCUUUUUACAAAGACUUUAUUG
ensembl:lncRNA novel transcript, antisense to TSPOand MPPED1